GGUCCUAUAGCUCAGUUGGUCAGAGCGUCGUACUAAUAUUAUAACUUGUUGUAACAUCAGUAAUGCGAAGGCCGUGAGUUCAAGCCUCACUGGGACCA
rnacentral:tRNA from 1 species